rnacentral:lncRNA from 1 species
UUAAAAAUAAGAAAUAUGGAUUUGCCAAGCCAUAAUUGUGUGUUGUCAUCUAGAUGUCGAAGAAUUUCUAUAGUACCUCUUUUUGGAGUGUUCAUUUGCUAUGUCUUGUUGGAACAUACUUGAACUAGCACAACUGAUUCAAGGAAAUUUGUUGGACAUAAUCCCUCUUUUCAGGGCACAUAUGACAUAUAUAUUAACAAGCCUUUCUUCAUGUAGAUAAUUAUUGGGAAUCUGGACUACUCAAAAUGAUACAAUCUUCAGGAACCAAAGCCAUUCUUUGCAAACCGUCAUGUUCGUUUUCAAAAAGAAAUUAGCCUAGGUCAAGCUCAGGACUAAGAAAUGUAACACCCUAAAAUUUAUUUCUUAUUCAAAUAGGUGAAAAUGAUUUAAAUUUGUUUUUUUUUGUGUUCAUGAAAUAUAGAGAGAUAAUUUUUUUAUUAAAUUAAAAUUCAUCAUAGGACGUAGAAAAUAUGCUUGAGCAUGCAUGCCUUUGCAUUUUACUUAUUGUGAUGAGUGUAUUUAAACUCAAAAUUUUGAAAUGAUUUAAAAUGUUUUGAAAUGAUGUGAAAAUAGCUUUGGAAUAAAAAGAAAACAGAAAAGAAAUUGAAAAAAAAGAGAAAACCCCCUGGGAACGGGCUCCCCUGCGGCCCAGUCCUUUUCCCCCCUCGGCCGGGCGCGGCCCAACCCUCCUCCCCUUCUCUUCCCCGCGCCCCGGUCCAUUUCUUCCUUCUCGGCCCAGCAGCGCGCGCCUCCCCUCUCUUUGUUUGGAUGACGACCGGGCCCCGCGUGUCAGCCUCCUCUCCCUGCUUUCCUUCUUCCUCAGCACGCAGCCGAGCCGGACUCGACUCCGGUCACGGCAAGUCCCGAUUUUGAUGGGAUUUGGUCUUCCCGAUCCCUAUAAAGCCCUCCAAUCAACUCCGAUCCGUAGAUCCCCUUUCGUAUCCUAGCCAACUAAUCCGUGCCUUAACCAUCGUUUUUCGAGUGUUUGGAUCUCGCCGAGGGUUGAUUCCGCCACCGCGCAUAGUGGCACC